UACAGAGGUCCCAAGCGUUUGUUCGGAUUCACUGGGCGUAAAGGGUGCGCAGGUGGGUUUGCAAGUUCGAUGUGAAAGCCCCGGGCUUAACCCGGGAAUGGCAUUGGAUACUGCAGAUCUGGAGGAUCGGAGGGGGGACUGGAAUUCUUGGUGUAGCAGUGAAAUGCGUAGAUAUCAAGAGGAACACCAGUGGCGAAGGCGAGUCCCUGGACGAUACCUGACACUGAGGCACGAAAGCUAGGGGAGCAAACAGG
rnacentral:rRNA from 1 species